UUUUUUUUUUUUUUUUAACCUAGAAUCUCACUCUGUACUCCUGGCUGUCCUACUCAUUCUGUAGACCAGACUGGCAUUGAACUCAAGAGAUCUGCUUGCUUCUGCUUCCCAAGUACUGGGACUAAAGGUGUGCGCCGCCAUGCCAGGCUUAAGUUUUAGAUUUCUGAUCAAGAACUAAACCAAAAUGUGAGCAGUAUGUCUUACAAAGCCACAGUCUUCUCUCUCGAAGCAGACCUUGGCUGCUUUAGUCCUGUAGAAAGCAGCUGCUGGGUGAUGGGUUAGCUCUGGCUCUUCACACUGAUCUCACACCAGAGCGGUCAGCCACUUCUGUAGACCUGCCUUUGCCUGUCAGCAUCAGCUGCUUCAGCCAGAUCUUUGAUCUGCAUGCAGCAUCCCCUCCUCUUACUGAGGCAGCAGCCUCUGUGAGAGUGGCCUGACGAUUGCUAAGGCAGGGACUGAAAGGUCAUUAGUUUUGAUAGUCAAAAAACUCAAACCCAGACCAUGUGCUGGAAAUUUGGAUGGUGUGCUUUGGUUGUAUGAUGGGGGAGUGGGCAGGUACCCACUUGCUGCCUCUGUCCUCAUCUAUCCAGACAGACCGUUUUAACUAUAGGAAUUUAUGAGAAUUUGACUUGAUCUUAAUGAUUUUCAUCAAAACUCUUUUACCCUUUUUCUUUAGUCCCAAAGUUGGAAAAAAGCACCUUCGUGCUUACAUAAGGUAUAAUAAAGUUCAUUGGAAAUACUAUUGAAAAUGAUUUUCUAAAUGCUAAUAUUCCAGUUUUUGAUUAAAAAAUAUUUCUACAGUGGGUUUAUUUUGGAUUUUUAAAUACUUAAAAAGGAAAUGGGAUGCUUCCCCCAAGAUGGUAUGAAAUAGAAAUAUCCAUCUUUUGGUUACAUGGCUCAUCGUACAGUGAAGAGUCACACAGUGCUACCGAGGGGCACAGGCUUUAAAUUAACCGGUUGACCUUUAGGGGAGAUUUGCUGUCCUCAAGGCACAGCAUAUUUCCCGUGUGCUGUGGGAGGCUGUGCUGCUCGGGUUUCUGUUUUAGGCUGGAGGACAGUUUUUUUAGAGUUUAGAAAGAGAAACUGCAUAUUAGUUCCCUAUCAGAUUUAGGAUAGGUAAAGAUCCUUUCCCAAUUUGUUGGUGGCCUUUUUGUCUUAUUGACAGUGUUUUUUGCCUUCCAGAAGCUUUGCAAUUUUAUGAGGUCCCAUUUGUCAAUUCUUGAUCUUACAGCACAAGCCAUUGAUGUUCUGUUUAGGAAUUUUUCCCCUGUGCCCUAUCUUUGAGGCUUUCUCCCAAUUUCUCCUCUAUUAAUUUCAGUGUCUCUGGUCUUAUGUGGAGGUCUUUGAUCCACUUAGACUUGAGCUUUGUACAAGGAGAUAAGAAUGGAUCAAUUCGCAUUCUUCUACAUGAUAACCGCCAGUUGUGCCAGCACUAUUUGUUGAAAAUGCUGUCUUUUUUUUUUCCACUGGAUGGUUUUAGCUCCCUUGUCAAAGAUCAAGUGACCAUAGGUGUGUGGGUUCAUCUCUGGGUCUUCAAUUCUGUUCCAUUGGUCUACCUGUCUGUCACUGUACCAGUACCAUGCAGUUUUUAUCACAAUUGCUCUGUAGUACAGCUUAAUGUCAGGCAUGGUGAUUCCACCAGAGGUUCUUUUAUUGUUGAGAAUAGUUUUUGCUAUCCUAGGUUUUUCAUUUUUCCAGAUGAAUUUGCAAAUUGCCCUUUCUAUCUCAGUGAAGAAUUGAGUUGGAAUUUUGAUGGGGAUUGCUUUGAAUCUGUAGAUUGCUUUUGGCAGGAUAGCCAUUUUUACUAUAUUGAUCCUGCCGAUCCAUGAGCAUGGGAGAUCUUUCCAUCUUCUGAGAUCUUCAAUUUCUGAGCUCAAGAGGCUGGACUCCAGAAAUUCAAAUAACCCCAUUAAAAAUGGGGUUCAGAGCUAAACAAAGAAUUCUCAACAGAGGAAUACCGAAUGACUGAGAAGCCCCUGAAAAAAUGUUCAACAUCCUUAAUCAUCAGGGAAAUGCAAAUCAAAACAAUCCUGAGAUUCCAUCUCACACCAGUCAGAAUGGCUAAGAUCAAAAAUUCAGGUGACAGCAGAUACUGGUGAGGAUGUGGAGAAAGAGGAACACUCCUCCAUUGCGGGUAGAAUUGCAAGCUUGUACAACCACUCUGGAAGUCAGUCUGGAGGUUCCUCAGAAAAUUGGACAUAGUACUACUAGAAGAUCCAGCAAUACCUCUCCUGGGCAUAUACCCAGAAGAAGUUCCAACUGGUAAUAAGAACACGUGCUCCACUAUGUUCAUAGCAGCCUUAUUUAUAAUAGCCAGAAGCUGGAAAGAACCCAGAUGUCCCUCAACAGAAGAAUGAAUAUAAAAAAUAUGGUACAUUUACACAAUGGUAUACUACUCAGCAAUUAAAAACAAUGAAUUCAUGAAAUUCUUAGGCAAAUGGAUGUAUCUGGAAGAUAUCAUCCUGAGUGAGGUAACCCAAUAAAAUAACACACAUGAUAUGCACUCACUGAUAAGUGGAUAUUAGCCCAGAAACAUAGAUCACCCAAGAUAAAAUUUGCAAAACACAAGAAAAUCAAGAAGAGGGAAGACCAAUGGGUGGAUACUUCAUUCCUCCUUAGAAUAGGGAACAAAAUACCCAUGAAAGGAGUUACAGAGACAAAGUUUGGAGCUAAGACGAAAGGAUGGACUAUCCAGAGAAUACCCCACCCAGAGAUCCAUUCCAUAAUCAGCCACCAGACCCAGACACUUGCAUAUGCCAGCAUGAUUUUGCUGAAGGGACCGACCCUGUUAUGGCUGUCUAGUAUGAGGCUAUGCCAGUGCCUGGCAAAUACAGAAGUGGAUGCUCACAGUCAUCUAUAAGAUGGAACACAGGGCCCCCAAUGGAGAAGCUAGAGAAAGCACCCAAGGAGCUGAAGGGGUCUGCAACCCUAUAGGUGGAACAACAAUAUGAACUAACCUGUACCCCCAGAGCUCAUAUCUCUAGCUGUGUAUGUAGCAGAGAUGGCCUAGUUGGCCAUCACUGGGAAGAGAGGCCCCUUGAUAUUGCAAACUUUAUAUGCCCCAGUAUAGGGGAACGCCAAGGCCAAGAAGUGGGAGUUGGGUGGGUAGGGGAGCAGGGUGGAGGGAGGGUAUAGGGAACUUUCGGGGUAGCAUUUGAAAUGUAUAUAGAGAAAAUAUUUAAUAAAAAAUUAAUAGAUAAGUAAAUUAAUU
rnacentral:lncRNA from 1 species